rnacentral:tRNA from 1 species
CUAGAAGACCGAGACUUGAACUCGGAUCCGGAAGCCCAAAACUUCCGAUAUUUCAUAUACUACCUCCUA